rnacentral:rRNA from 1 species
ACCCGCUGAACUUAAGCAUAUCAAUAAGCGGAGGAAAAGAAACCAACAGGGAUUGCCCUAGUAACGGCGAGUGAAGCGGCAACAGCUCAAAUUUGAAAUCUGGCUCCUUUGGGGUCCGAGUUGUAAUUUGUAGAGGGUGCUUUGGCGUUGGUUGUGGUCUAAGUUCCUUGGAACAGGACGUCACAGAGGGUGAGAAUCCCGUACGUGGCCGCCAGCCUUCGCCGUGUAAAGCCCCUUCGAUGAGUCGAGUUGUUUGGGAAUGCAGCUCUAAAUGGGAGGUAAAUUUCUUCUAAAGCUAAAUAUUUGCCAGAGACCGAUAGCGCACAAGUAGAGUGAUCGAAAGAUGAAAAGCACUUUGGAAAGAGAGUCAAAAAGCACGUGAAAUUGUUGAAAGGGAAGCGCUUGCAGCUAGACGUGCCUUGGGUUGAUCAGCCGGACUUUUGCCCGGUGCACUCUUCCUUUGGCAGGCCAGCAUCAGUUUGGGCGGCUGGAUAAAGGUCUGUUAAACGUGACUUCCUUCGGGGAGAGCUUAUAGGGCAGACGACAUGCAGCCAGCCUGAACUGAGGUCCGCGCAUCUGCUAGGAUGCUGGCAUAAUAGCUGU